CUAAAGACAAGCAUGAGUCUAAAGGAAACCACUUACUUAGUUAAGCUGUUCCAGUUUAGCAAAUCUUCUCUUCUACAGGUCUUGGUGCGUUGCACGACUCUAUAAUUUGUUAUUCUGCCAGAAAAUGUGGACAACAGUGAAUGUGUUAGAGGCCUUUCCAUCCUGUUUUACCUGAUCUGUUUACUUGAAGCAGCAUGGAAGUGCCUGUCUGCGAUGGAUGAUGUGAAGGAAGGAUCCUCACUAAACUUUUUACCUGCUCUCUGCUACUAGGUGGAAUGUCCAUUUCCUCCUGUCUGCCACUAGAAAGAGAUGCUUUGUGCUUGAGAGGAACAAAUACCUACAGUCCAGACAAGAAGUCUGAAUAAACUGGUACAGUGAGUGUAAAGUCCACCAGCUACGCUGGGUCAACACAACUGGGCUGAACAUGCCAUACUGAGUUCAAAUUUCACCAAAUAUCAAAGAAUGCUGGAAAGUGGGGAGUGAUUUUCAUUUUCUGACUUCUGUACUUUCUCAUUUAUUUUUAUCAUCUGUAAAAUAAUCUCUAAUCACCGAUUCACUAACCCUAAUUGGGCAUUUUAAGGGCAGACUGACCUGUCUAGCGUAAUCAAUUUCUGGUUUAAAUAUAUGCCGUCUUUUACAACUAAUGAACUGAUCUCAACAAACCAUGGUAGAACAUUUAAAUACUAAAGCAUUUAAAAUUACAAUGAAACAAAUUUCAGCUGCUGAGCAUGUGAACACCAAAAUAACACCAAGCAGUGUAAAACAAGCCAGCUAAUGAUACAGAAAGAGCAUAAGUAGUGAAAAAUUAUAGACUGCAGUAAAGACAGUACCUGCAAAGAACUGUAAAGCAUCUUAUGAUACAAAGUGAUUGAGAAAUAAAGUGCAAUGUUACACCAAUACUUUUAUGUUACAGUAGAGUAAAUUAUAUUUGAUUUAUAUUCUACUAAAAACACUGGGUGUGGUAUGUUCAGUUAUGUUUAUGCUAUUUUAAAAAUAUUUCAUAAAAUGCUACAGUUUUAUACUUCUGCGAUUUGAUUAAAACCCUGGUGAAUAACUGUAGGACAAUGAGGAUGUAAGGAGAGGGAGACACUUGCACUGCCAGAAGUUCAGACUAUGACUUUGUUUUGUAGUGAUUAGCUCUGGAGCACUCACUUAAUAUUAGGUUAGAACUUCUAUCUGUUCACAGUGAAAUCAAUCUAGAAAACAGCUGACAAGCAGCAAAGAAGAAAAGUAGUAAAAUGAGAAAAUCUAUAUGCUGAUUUCUGAGCUUAUACACAUAGAACCACUAGCAAUUCAUAUUAAAAUUUUAUCAUGCACAGACAUCCUUAAUAUUACUUACAUGUGUUACAGAUGAGGGAGAGAAGAAAGAAAUUUAAUUUGCCCACAGCAGAAGGAGAAUUCAAAAGCAUAAAUAUAUAUGUAUAUUUUUACUAAAAAUCUUGAUAUAAAACAAAAUGAAAUAUUUAUAACUAUAUUACCUCUAUGUUUUUUUUUUGUCUGCAGGUUUUUUUUUUUUUUUUUUUUGCAAGAAAUAUUAUACCAAGGAAUAUAUCCAUAUUGCAUAGUCUAGUCUAUACUAGUCUACCACUACAACUGCUGGCUAAUUUUAUCUGAAUGCUACUCCAUCAUCAUACUGGCUCAAUAACAAUUAUAUACAUAAGCACAGCUGUUGGGUGUCAUCUAGACUACUCUCAACUUAUGUUCAUUGACUUUUUUUGGUGUCAAAUAUUGUUCUAUACCACUGCAGCUCCCUCCAUGAAAUAUUAUAGUCGAAUCAUCACUGGCUUUCUGCUCCUUCUAUUUCUAAUUUUAACUUCAGCUUUAACAUUUUGUUGUUUUUUCACAUAGAAAAAUAGACUAAACAAAGAUCACAAGUCUUCUUCUUGCAAAGACUUUUGGAAUUGACAAUUCCACUCACCCCAGACUAACUUACCACCCCUUCUCCUCUUGAACUGGUAUUGUUGUUAUCUCCUCAUCUGUGGUCAUGACAUCUGCAACCUUGUGCUUCAAAACCUACUAUAGGUAUUCAACAGAUCAUCUUCUUGCAUGCUUAUAUAACACAGUUUAUAUAGCCCUCUAUACCCCUCAAUCUUUGUUUUCUACUGCACGAAAAAAAUGUUCCUGGUUCUUAUUACAGUAUUUCUCAAUGCUGGUCUCCUUUUGGCCUAUUGUGUAGUUUCCAGAGCAACUCUGUGAUAGUAAAGAUGCGUGAUCUGUGCUUUUCAAAUUCUCUGAAAAAUGUCUUCAAUAUUCCCUUAUACCCAACAGUUUAUAGCUUCACAAAGAAAGACUCUUUAUUCAUUCUAUCUUUUUUUCAUGUCGCUGCACAAAACUCACUUAUUUGAUAAUAUGAAUACAAAUCUGAUUCACCAAGGAGAGAAUUACAACUUCUGCUGGGUAGCCAAGAAUUGAACAUAUCCAACUACCAUCACUAACAUGUCUUUCAAUCCCAGCAACCUUCUUCUUUGUCUCACAAGAUUUUAUGCCAGAUUUCAGCUUGCAAAUCCAUGCAUGGACUGUAAUUUUUCAUAUAUUUAUAGAGCACAUAUCAUUGCCUGCUACGUGCCCUGGCUGGGUUCCAGUUAUUGUAUAAGUGUAUUGUUUGGAGGAUUUUUAUAUGAGCAACCUUUAAAAAAAUAAAUUUUAUUUUUUACAUUUCAUAAACACUUUCUUAUCAUUUAUUAGUUAUUAUUAACAUAAAAAUUACUUAAAACUUCAAAUUUAAUCAUUUAAUACAGUUUCCUAGCAAUUGC
ensembl:lncRNA